rnacentral:tRNA from 1 species
GUCCCCGUAGUUCAAUUGGCAGAACGGCGCCCUGUCAAGGCGCGCGUUGCGGGUUCGACUCCUGCCGGGGACA